rnacentral:rRNA from 1 species
GACAGAGGGUGCAAACGUUGUUCGGAAUUACUGGGCGUAAAGCGCGUGUAGGUGGCGAGGCAAGUCGGGUGUGAAAGCCCUGGGCUCAACCCAGGAAGUGCACUCGAUACUGCCUAGCUAGAGUCCCGGAGAGGUUGGUGGAACUCUCGGUGUAGAGGUGAAAUUCGUAGAUAUCGAGAAGAACACCGGUGGCGAAGGCGGCCAACUGGACGGUGACUGACACUGGAGACGCGAAAGCGUGGGGAGCAACAGG